GGUUCUGUAGCUCAGUUGGUUAGAGCGUCGUGCUAAUAACGCGAAGGUCCAGCGUUCGAUCCGCUGUAGAACCA